rfam:Fukomys damarensis contig146346, whole genome shotgun sequence.
GGGAAUGUGGCUCAGUGGUGGAGCACUUACCUAGCAUGUACAAGGCUCUGGGUCCAAUCCCCAGCACCCCA